CUAAAUGGAGCAAAUGUUUGUGGAUACAUGAAUGUUUCAUUAUCCAAUGCAGUAUACUGCGACCCACAAGGCAAUGAAUUUAAAUUUGAAAAUCUUUUUGUGCAAGGCCGUAACAUUAGAUAUGUGCAAAUCCCUGAAACUAUGUCAAUGUUAGCAACAAUUAAAAAAGAAUUAGCUGGACAUAAAAAACAUGUUCCUGAUAAAAAACCCAUUGAAAAAUCAAGAAAAGCAAAAAAAGCACUU